rnacentral:rRNA from 1 species
CAGUAGCCGCGGGAAUACGGAGGGUGCAAGCGUUAAUCGGAAUUACUGGGCGUAAAGCGCGCGUAGGUGGUUCGCCAAGUUGGAUGUGAAAUCCCCGGGCUCAACCUGGGAACUGCAUCCAAAACUGGCGAGCUAGAGUAUGGUAGAGGGUGGUGGAAUUUCCUGUGUAGCGGUGAAAUGCGUAGAUAUAGGAAGGAACACCAGUGGCGAAGGCGACUACCUGGACUGAUACUGACACUGAGGUGCGAAAGCGUGGGGAGCAAACAGGAUUAGAUACCCCUGUAGUCCCUGUCUCUUAUAA